GUCCGGGGAACAUCUGCCAUUUGAACAAAAAUGCAGGAAAAGGAUAAACCGGGAGAUCGGGUUGGACGGAGCGUUCUUUGACGAAUCCCCACAGAAGUCUUGUUGGGCUGGGCUCCCCCCUGCCAAGGCCAAGGUCACGGGUUCUAGAACUCUCGGGGGGUCUGGGGUAGCGAGCAGGUGAUGGUUGGCUGCACACUGAUUCACCCAUCCUUGCUGCCCACUCGUCUGGCCGCCCGGGCAGGAGUCUCCUGUCCCACAGACCAGCAGCCCACCCAGGACAUGCCACCCCGUGACAGCAAGCUGGGAGCAGCCCAACAGACUCCCUGGCACCAGCCCAUACUUUUCAUUUCCUCCUUUUUGCCUCAACUCAGAUUAGUGCUGAUAAAACCCCAGCCAUGAAUAGAACAGAUACAUGAGAACAUUUUUACUGCUGAAAUAAUGUCUUGAAUUCACAUUCAAAAUUGAGGGUCACAGGCCAGCAAUCAGCCGACUAGAAACACCAUCCCUGGUUGACCUGUUGACAAAAUAAUUCACAGGCCGUCCUCAGGCCUCAGCCACGGAGCUCUGAACAAGCUCCCGGUUGCUGAAUGAACCAUGGCAGACGCCAGAUAAAACUAUUCAUCUUAAAAUCAUCUCAGGACCCGGGAAUGCCUCUCAAAGCAAGUUCAAAUGGCCACACGCUAGAACAAAAGGCCAAUCCUAGAACACCACGUCUCUGCUUUACUGAGUUUUUAUACUCUUUCAGCAAGGUGUCUUAGGCCCUGCCGUGUGGCUGAGAGUCUGGGAAGGCUGGUGAGAAGGUGGGUCCACCGGGGCCCCAAGGAAGUGUCACCAGCCAGCGCUGCUGCCAUGAAAAGUCCCUCCAAGUUCCUGUCUUGCUUCGUAUGUGACGAUGCGGUUGCAGUGCUUCAACUGCCUCCCAUGCCGGCAGGAUUCGCUGAGCCUCUCUCACUUCUCCAGGACAUGUGGAAGAGCGUCACCAUCUCACAGGUCAGCCACUCCAUCCGGGACUUCUCAGGACACACCUCCUGAUUUGGGACGGUAGAACCCGCCCUUCCGGGAGGUGUGGGGUGAGCAAAGGUAACUGCGUACUCACCCUGCCCUGCCUGUGUGUGCAGCCCACAGAGGGGAUUAUGGAACUGUGACGACUUUCAUACAAGCAGAGACCAAGAGAGACGGGGUCUGAGGCAAACAAGUAACAGGAGGGAAAGAAUAAUUGCAACUCAGGAGGGCUCCGGGGAAGAGACGCCCUUUGCCCGUGGCUUAGAGUGUGAGUGGGAUUCCCGGAAGUAGGGAGGGGCUGGGAGAGGAGUGUUUCCGCUAGAGGGGGUGGGACUGUGCUCGGCGCACCUAGGGACCCUAGGCGAUGCUCCCCUCGGCCUCGGCGUCAACCACCAGGAAGACGGACCGGAAGACGGGGCUGGGUUUCACUGUGCGACGUCUUCAAGGCCGGGACCACCAGAGCCUGGAAAGCUUCUCCGUUCCCCCGUGACCCCGCUAGACCACCCCCCAGAGCCUCCCUCGGAGCCAAGUCCCGCCACAUGACCCAGUUCUGCCGACAGAACACGGAAAAAUGACGUAACGUGCACGGUCCAGGCCGGCCCGAGUCCCGCCUCUUCAGGCCGUGGCCGGGCCUCCAUCCGGGCACUUCCGCGGGCUCUGCCUGUUUGGACGGCAGUGUCCGCGGCCACGUGGAGCCACACCGUGGAGACGGCCGGACCUCCGCCACCUCCCCUGCCCGUGAUGCGGGUCAUGACACCCCACCCACCCUGCCUCUGUCCCCAGGGCUGGGUGAGAGGCCCCCGCACGCGGCGCUGGGCCCCGGGUCCAGAGUGGGCUCUGAAGCCAGCGUCUCUCCAGCGGGGAGGCCGGGCCUGGGGGCGCGUGCUCCCCUCGGCCCCGAGAGCUGGGCUGAGGGAAGGUGGCGGCGUGGGUGCUGCUGUGGACCCAAAAGGAAACCACGGCAGACGCCUGGCUCGGGAGCUGCUGAAAGGCUGGCGAGGGGGUGACUGACAGAGGGAGGGACGUCGUCCGCCGGCUUCCUCCUGUUCGCUGCGCCGCCCAUCUACGGGAGUGGGCCGUGCCCAGGUCUCUGGUCUUCUCUCUUCGUUAGCAUCGGACACCGCUGACCCUCAGCGCUUCGCCGCUGUGACCGCCCCCUUCCCGCCCUCUGCUCCCUCUGCCCCCGCCCUUCCCACCCCUGGACCCUCUUUCUCCCUCCACCCGCUCUUCUUUUUGCACCAGGCCCUCUACACGAGUCAGCCGGUGGCUUCCGGCUUCUCUCAUCCGGACGCAUGGAGCCCCUGGGAGUCUCACUCCCCCAUCUGGUCGCUCCCUUCCCGCCCCACGACCCCCGAGCUUCCUCACCAGGCCCGGUUUCCCUCCUGAGCUCCAGAUCAAGCUGUCCAGCGCGCCAGCCGAGCGGCUGCCUGCCCGGGACAGAAUCCCGUCCCCAUCUGUGCAGCUCUGCACUCGCUGCUCCCUGGGCACAGCUGCCCCUCUGGCUGUGGCUGUCUGAGACCAGGGGGUUGGGGCCAGCGAGUCGUGAAGAGUUUAAUCGUCUCCCUGAAGGUCUCACUUCCUUCCGCUGCAGAGACAGUCACACUGUGCCUCCCCUGCCCACCUCCACGUCCCUUCUCUUCCCUGACCCAGAAGGCCACCCUCUUUCCUCUAGAAACAGUAACAAUAACAGUAAUACCCAACACUUAGGGUUGAGGCAGCUUUAUAUGUAUCCAUGCAUGACGUCCCGCUAUAGUUCUAUGGGACUUAUUACUAUUCCCAUUUAACAGACGUGGAAACUGCGGCCCGGGGAGACCCAGGAACCUGCCCAUGUCACAAGGCAGUCUGUAGUGAGCCUGCGUGAGAACCCUUGCUCCAGGAAAGGGGUGACAGGGCGUCGCUGAGGAGCUGCCAGGCUUUCGGCCCUAAGCGGUCAGGCAGGUGUGGCGGGCUCUUGAUGAGAGGACUCUGCUCACAAGGGGACCGGGAGCACUUCGAUGUGGAAGCCAGACCACCCGCUCCUGAGGGCCAUGCAGAUGACCGCACCCAGGCCACCGCGAGCCCUGCCUGUUCAGUCUUCUGCUCCUGCUACUGUUUCUCUCGUGAUGAGAACUUAACUCUGUGAUGACGCAGCCGCCCGCCGACCGCCUGGGUACGCUGACCACAGCUCCGGGAGGACAAGCGGCCUCGGAGCGAUCUGACUUUCCCCGCAGUCUUCUCCCAAAAUUUAUUUCUAGGUGAAUGACUAACGUCAACUUCCCUAUGAGGUUCAGCAGUAAAGAAUCUGCCUGCAGUGCAGGAGACCCGGGUUCAUUUCCUGGGUGGGGAAGAUCCCUUGGAGGAGGGCAUGGCAACCCACUCCAGUGUUCGUGCCUGGAGAAUCCCAUGGGCAGAGGAGCCUGGCGGGCUACAGUCCCCGGGGUCGCAAAGAGUCAACACGACUGAGCACACACAAGGAAUGGCGGAGCGUGAGAAGGAGGACCUGUUCGAAGGGUUUUGUUUGCUUGCCAUGAGGCAUGUGGAAUCUCUGCUCCCUGACCAGGGAACCUGCACUCCCUGCAUUGGAAGGCAAAGUCUUAACCAUUGGACCACCAGGGGGGUCCCUCUAGUGUCUGUCCACUUCCCAGGAGCUUUCCUGUGCUCAUCACGACAGCCUUACAAGGUCAUAAGGGCGAGGAGACAGAUCCCUGGUCACAGACGACCCAGCAAGGUGACGAGACCUCUCCCUCAGCCAGGCUGGCGCUCGCCGGUUGUGGCCUUGGUUCUUAGUUGACACGUCCUCUGUAUAAGCCCCGAGUGACCCACUGCAGCCCCACGUUCUUCAGGACUAGCGAAAUAAGUAAUUUGUAAAUUUGAACGGAUGGAUAAUGAUGGAUUUUAAAAAACAUUUUGUUGAGGAAAUUUUAAGCUUAUAAGAGCUGGAGAGACUAGUGUGAAGAAUUCCCUUGUACACAGUUUCAGCCAUCAGCUGUCUUCCUUACUAGUUUUAUCUACCCUCUUCAACAAGCACUCACCCUUUUUUCUGGAGCUUAAAACACAUGCCAGCCACUGCACCAUCUCGCCUGAAAGUACUUCACUGUGCAUUUACAGCCAUUGCCCCAUUCAACAAAAGCAACAGCAGUCCAUGUUAAAUUUCCCCAAUUGUUUCAGAAAUAUCUUUUUCCAGCUGGUGGCUGAUACUCAGAGGAGUAUUGACUUUCUGGAGAAUCAAAGCAGAAACAAAAGGUUUUGCCUUGAACUUCUUGGCUGCCUGUCCAUUCCUCCCGACCUCUACCCUCCCAUCACCCUCUAAGCAGAGCCAAGGGCCAGGGUGACACUUUGAGAGUUGGUGAGCAGGUGUCCCAGAGCCGUGUAGGUAGGCCUCGGAAAGGUGUGGUCCUGACACCAAGUCCUCCUCCAGGAGAUCACCUCCUCAUCAGAAAAGAUGGACUCUCUCCAUCCGCACUCUCCACGUGGGGCCAAGAGGUCAGAGGUCCAGCUUUUCCUGAAGAGCCAGAAUCCACUGCAGAUCUCGUGACUCCACAUGGACUGCAAUCAGGAACCGGGUUCUGAAGGGUGAGGGGAAGGGACACACUCGAUUGUUCACAGGAGCGAACGCGUAACUACCCCACUCUGAAACACUUAGAGCGCUCUGUGUGUGCAGAAGCACUUGGGCACGAGCCUCAGAGCAGACGCCAGGGGAAGACGCCAGGGAGUCAGGGACUUCCCUGCCACAAGCAGAGGCCACAUGCGACAGAUCCCAGGGGGUUCCUUCCUGGUGUUCUGUGCCCUUAGUAACCAGAUCUGCCUUCAAGCCACGAGUUCUAAUAGGAAUCAUACUAUGUGUUAAUUAUAGGUUUAAACAAAGAAAGGAUUUUGUAUAAACUUGACCAGCUCAUCUGAUAAAAAUAGUUCUUGACACUUCAGUAAACCUCAUUUCCAGCCUGUUUGCUUCCCCACGUAUGAAAAGUUAACUCAUCUGCUUACAGAUAUUUUAGGAAUCCUCCCCAUUUUUAUCAAUGAGCUCUUGGUUCCAGAGGGAUAAAUCCUGAAGGUAGUAUUACUGGGGAUUAAACUCAAGGCUCUGGGAUCGGAUGCCAGCACCGAUGCUCCUAACAGUCCUUUCACCUCGGACGAUCUAACUAGCCUCUUUGGUGUCAUUCUCCUGCCUACGAAAUGAGGCCAAGGUUAUUGCCACCCCACGUGACAAGAUAACACGUUCUCAGUCAACAAACCCUUACUGAGUGCCAGGCAAGGUUCUAGGUGUCAAAGACACUCCCGUCAACAAGUCCCACGGGGUCUUGCGCUCUCAGAGCUUUCAUUCUGGUUGGGAAAGCAAAAAUCAAGAGAAAAGGAAAUAUCAGAAUGGGCAUGAGCUCCAUUCUGACAAUUUUUUGAAAUGCUGUGCCAUAGAGCAGGUCUAAGUGACCCUAGGGAGGCUUCAUCGAGGUGGUGGUAAUUAAACAGAGACCUGAAUGAUGGAUGAGGAGUCGGCCAUGCAAAGAUCUUGGGGAAAAGCAUUUUGGGCAGAGGGAACAGCAAACUCCAAGGUCCAAGGGAGGUGCAACUUUCGUGUGCGGAGAAGCAGAGACCGAGGGGCACGGUGUUCCGCGUGUGGACGGCGAGGAGGGCGGGGCCUGACUCGGAGUCUGCAGGACUUCAGGAGACCGGACUCGCUCUGUCACCCGAGCCAGGAGGAGGCUUGGAGCACCAUGUGCUGCUCUGACUUACGUUUCAAAACGAUCUGUGUCUGGUACAGAGAUAUGUUGGGGAAGGGGAGGACUGGUCAGGAGAGUGUUGGAGCAGACCAGCUAGGAAGACAGUGGCUUUGACUAGGAUCUGAGCCUUGCUGAUGGGGGAGGUGGUCAGGUUUGAAUAUAUUUCUGAAAUAAAUCUGCCAAGAUUAGGUGGCUGAAUGAAAAGAGCCAAAGAAAGGCAUCAAGAAUGAUUCCUGUGGGAAACAUUUGUUUCAAAGUUAUGUGUGUGUGUGAGAGUAGAGUUAUGUGUGUAAUGGGUUCCUUAGAGAAGAUCAUUACCAAAAUCUUUAAAAAGGAUACGGCUAGAAGUAAAAAGUUCUUAAGAUCAUAAACAGAAUAAUCCAUUUUGCCCUAAUUUUCAUUUAUUCUGUUAAGUGCAUUUUUCACUGCUUCAAUUUGAUCAAUUUAAAUGCAACGAACUGUGGAUAUUUCACAUG
ensembl:lncRNA